rnacentral:rRNA from 1 species
UACGUAGGGAGCAAGCGUUGUCCGGAAUCAUUGGGCGUAAAGCGCGCGUAGGUGGCCUCGUAAGUCCGCUGUGAAAGUCAAAGGCUCAACCUUUGAAAGCCGGUGGAUACUGUGGGGCUAGAGUACGGAAGAGGCGAGUGGAAUUCCUGGUGUAGCGGUGGAAUGCGCAGAUAUCAGGAGGAACACCAAUAGCGAAGGCAGCUCGCUGGGACGUUACUUACACUGAGGCGCGAAAGCGUGGGGAGCGAACAGG